CACACUUUCUCCCCCACCAUCACUCUAGACAAACUGGGUUACUCCCUUCAGAUACUGCAAGUAGGACCUUUUAAAGCACUUUACAGACUGAACUGCUGCUCUAAACCAGACCAGACAAUGCAUUCCCUCCGGGAGAGGAGAGGGCCACCGAGACAAAACCUUUCCAGUUAGAAGCGUCAAGCUGCUGACCUGAUGUGGAUCUCAUAUCUCGAAAGCAUCUCCCCCGGCUACAAAUAUAUGUAUGAAGUGAUCAGUGUGGCACCACGCAGUGAUAAAGAAAAGAGGAAGACGACGACACAAAAGGCAUCACAGCAGCAGCAGAACAGAACUUUGUCGCCAUUAUAUGAAAACACAUUGUACAUGUUUGAGCUAUUAGAGACAACUGAUGGCUAACUGGCGACAAUCAAACCACUUUAACAUCAGAUUAUCACAUCAGACCUUCCGGGAUUGAAUAGAGUGAAAUACCACCAAAGGAAUUGCAGUGCUGGUUUCAAGAUUAAACUGAGAGGUUACAAGAAAUCUUCGCAGGACAGGACUACAGAAAGAAACAUUCCACUAUGCGAAAUUAUGCUUAUUUUUAUAAUUUUUUAAAAAUUUUUACUUUUGAUUUUUGAGAAUUACUGAAUCAUUUUAUCUCUUUAGUCUUCACUCCAUGCCCAAACUGGUCAUAGUCUAUAGACAUGUGCAACUGGCAAGGAUGGGUCACCAGAAAUUAUUACUUCAUUUUAUCCUGAUCCUGCAGCAAAACUAGCUGCCCCCAGAUCUAGACUUAAAAGUAAAGAAGAUUGUGCAUCGGCUGUCAGGGUCCCUAAACUCUGGCUCAGCCACCAUGUUUAUUGCAGUCAUUUUCUAUCUGUACCCUUGUUGUUUUUGAUUCCUUUUCAUUAAUUUGGGACAUUUUGUGUUGAUCAAAACACUUUUCAUUUGUAUUCUGCGUCUUGUAGUCCUUCCUUUUACUUCUAUUAAGCACUUUGUUACUCUGUUUUGAAAACUGCAGUUCAAAAAAGGUUAGUAUUAUUAAUACUGGUUGAAUAAUAUAUUUUCUAGAUGUUGUCAUGCUGAAUAAAUUCAGUUUUAUAUUGUCUCU